CGAGAAAGAUCAUAGACGCCAACUUCAAUGUCCAAAACCUGGAGCAAGUCCUUGUUCCAGAUGUAGAUGGUUGUCUACACAACUGCUAUGUUCUCUCUCCUAGGCUCCCGCAACGUUAGGGCGACGAGCGGUUCCUAGAGCUUGAAAGCUGUCUGGGUCUUCGAUUGAUUCGCGGAUCCAGUUUCUUCCCUUCCAAUUCUGGUUGAUCCCCUGCUGACCCGGGGUGCUCGCGGCUGCCACCUUCGGUCUCUGUUCGGGGUGAAUAAGGGGCAAUCUCUGUAUCGCUACCCACCAUUGGCGGGGGAUGGUUUUUUGGUUUCUACCUGUACUUGAAUGGCGGGUGCUCGCGAGGCGGAGGGGUUUGGUGCCCUUGGGGGCAUGCAGUCUGCGCCGGACGGAGGUGAUGCUCCUCCAGUUUGGGCGCUUCUAGGCUAGGGGAGGCGAUGGCGGUUGCAGACCCAUCCUCCUCAGCAGGCGGUUCUUUCUGUCAAUUGGAUCAUGUUUUCUUUAGGUUUCGUUGGUUUGCCUGCUAAUUUGUUUGUUGUCAUCGUUGUCUAGUAAGACUGGCCGAUUAGGUUUCUGUCUAAAACCGGUAUGCCUAUGUCCAUGUUUUGAUGGCCUGUACAAGAAUGUGUAUCAGGACACGAUCAAUUACGAAACAACAGUUCAUGCCUAUGUAUAAUCAUGACAGGUUAAACUUGUGGGCGUCGAACUACAAAGAUGUUAGAGAAAUAAAUAUGAAUUUGGUUCUCGUUUUGAUUUGGUACGCUUCGUUCCCUAAUGCGCACAAGUGGUCUUUGACCUCUUGAGAUCUGGUUCAGGACAAUUGAGGUUAGUGCCUCUCAGGUCCAUCAUUACCUCUUGAAAAAAAAACGAUAUCUUCUAUAUCUGAUUACAUUGAAAUAUUUCUUCUUUUGUUUUUGUAUUUUUACUCACGAUUUGUUAUGUGUGUUGUCCUCUUUCAGGAUUUGGUACAUGGUUACCGAUGCAGAGGAUAAGGGGUUCAUCGUGCCAGGCAAGGUGCAUGGUGGUAGGCUCUGUCUCUGGCCUUGGCAUCUUCCGUUGGACCUGCUGUUGUGCGGUGGUGAUGGUGCUGUUUUGCAUCGACUACAAACAACCAAGAUGAGAUCCUCUCUCUUUCCUCUGCCUCUUGCCUUCGGUAGCUCUGAGAGCUUGUGGCCAUUGAGCCACGGGUAUGGUAGUUGCUCUUGUUUGAUGGACAUCUUACCAUGGCUAUAAUGAAAAAGCAUAACCUUUUUUAGUCUGGCUAUAGGCGUGGUUUGGCCUUUUUUAGCAUGACCUAUAACUAGCUGGAGUGGUGGUGCUGUUGUGGUUGGUUUACACCACAACAGUGACUCAGCUUAGCUCCACGUGUGUUCUGGCGUUGCUGGAUUCGCUGAUUAAUGUGGGUUUAACAGCAAGGCCGACUUGCUAUCUUGUUUUUUUCUCUUCAUGAUUAUCUACUUAAGCAGCUGUGUGGCUAAUUGCUUGGGAGUUGUUCCCUUGGGCUAGAACUUGAGCUCAUCCUUUUUUUCUCUAAAAUGGAACAGUGCAUUGUCCUGUUGUUGGAAUAUAUGAGGGCUCAAUUAAUUCCCGAGGAAAAAUGGCAAUACUAACCUGGCAUUUGACAAGUGGUGUUGUGAAUUAGCAUUACUAUUGAUUUUAUAGGUUAGCUGGAUUUGAUCUGAAGGGUAACCUCUUUACUCAACUAUGGGAUUUUCUUCUAAGUCGCCAGUGUUGUAGGGUUUCAAUUGGCAUAGAUUGGGCUUUGCGAAAUUUGUUGCCUUGCUGGUUUUAUGUCUUAAUCAAUCUCUGAUACAUUCUUGAUAUAUGGUCCUUUUUUCAUCAAGGCAUGUAGGUAUUGUGCAAUAUGUGUUCCUUAGAUGACCAUGAUUAUCUAGUGUUGUGCAUAGUGUCAAGUGUCAACUGUGUAUAGUUUCUCUGUUCUGCUAUUGUUUAAUAGUCACUUACAAGCAUAUUUUGAUAGAACCAUAGAUAUCAUGGUUGUGAACAUCUUACCUACUACUUUUAUUAGUUAUUAAAUUCAGAUUAUACUUCUAGAUGUGGACUGUUUGUCAUUCUACGAAAUGCUAGCUUGCAUUUACUUGGUUAGCAACUUUUGAAUUUUGCUGAGCAGAACACUACUGGAUAUCAUGUUAAAAAUGAUGACCCUAUUGUUUGGCAUAGGCAUGUAUCCUUGAUGCUGAUUGUUAAAUACAAGAAAACUUUUUCAAGGGCUUGCUGAUCACAAGAAUCAACUUGGAGCCCAUUGCAGGUAAUUAAUCAUCUUGGAGCUCCUCUCUGCCCUUGCAGGAUAUGGUACAACAUCGAUAGUGAUGCAGAGAAGGGGUUCAUCAUGCCAGGCUUGCAUGAUGGUAGGCUCUCUGGCCUUGGCAUCUUCCGCUGGACCCGCUGCUGCGCGGCGGUGAUGGUGCUGUUUGGCAUCGACUGCAAAACAACCAAGACCUGCGGUUCUUCUCGUCAGUGUGACUUGGUGGUUGUUGUUGUGGUCCUCCACUGAUGGUUGCUGGGCUCAAAAAAGCUCGAGGAGACAGAGAAUUCAUAUAUGUGCACGCAGACCCGUGGUUCUUCUCAUCUGCACAACUUGGUGGUCCUUUGGCGAUGGUUGCUGGGCCCAAAAAAGCUUGACGAGACUUAGGAGGAUGAACUGCCGAAUGCAUUGAUUGGUAGCUGAAUCUCGAUGUCCAUGGUCGAUGCUUUUGUUUAUUCAUUGGCAAAUUAUUUCAAUUGGGUGGGUCAUAAAAGAUGGCUCAAACCGUUCACUGUCUUAUUGCUUGUGUAUCAGCGGACCAAUUCUGUCUUGUUACUCAAUGUAGCAUAAAAGGCGUGGAUCAGAUCAUUCUUAUUGCUUCCUAUAUUCAUCAUGUGCAGCCAGUAGCAUGUAUCUCCUUCGCUUUUUCUUUUUCUGUUGAUUACUGUUGUAUAGUUUUGUCAAUGAAACAGUACCAAAUCAGUUGGUAUCUAUGGAAUA